CAAAACAAUAUAGCCUACUGAUAAAUAUUAUUUUAUUUUCUCUUUCUUUGAUAAAUAAAACAAUUAAUUUAAAAAUACAAAUGUUUUAGAAAGUCGAGUCAGAACUUUCGUCAGCUGCCAACUCUUGACUACAAUGUCAUCAAUUCCUUUGUUCCCUGGUACAAAAGCUGUACUCUAUUCUGAUAGUUGAACAAUGAGCCGGUGGCAUUCUUGAAUGACUUUUGAAACUUGGAAUGAUUUGAAAAACAAUGUAAGGCAGAAAGUAUCAUUACUGGGUAAGAAUAAUUCAAAAUUUGAUGGAGAAUCUCCUAUUUAUAUAAAAUUGUCAUCUCUUGAGAAGAGAGUGACAGGAAUGAUAGGUUGGGUUGUGACUGAAAUUCAUCCAUCAGCUGAAUCUUCUUUCAUUCCUGCAAACCAG
rnacentral:lncRNA from 1 species